GACGAACCGUGCGAACGUUAUUCGGAAUCACUGGGCUUAAAGCGCGUGUAGGCGGGACGGCACGUCGGUCGCUGAAAUCCCCCGGCUUAACCGGGGAACGGGCGUCGAUACGACCGUCCUGGAGGGGCGUAGGGGGACCUGGAACUUCCGGUGGAGCGGUGAAAUGCGUUGAGAUCGGAAGGAACGCCCGUGGCGAAAGCGAGGUCCUGGACGCCUACUGACGCUGAGGAGCGAAAGCGUGGGGAGCGAACAGG
rnacentral:rRNA from 1 species